rnacentral:rRNA from 1 species
UACGUAGGGUGCGAGCGUUAAUCGGAAUUACUGGGCGUAAAGCGUGCGCAGGCGGUUGGCAAAGUCAGCUGUGAAAGCCCCGGGCUUAACCUGGGAAUGGCGGUUGAAACUAGUCGACUAGAAUCUGGCAGAGGGGGGUGGGAAUUCCACGUGUAGCAGUGGAAAUGCGUAGAGAUGUGGAGGAACACCGAUGGCGAAGGGCAGCCCCCUGG